rnacentral:lncRNA from 1 species
CUUAAAUGAUAUAUUCAAUAUUGUUUUUAAAUAAUUCCAUCUAUGAUCAACUGCUUGUCCAAUGAAAGUUCAGAGUGUAUUUGAAUAAUUUUAAUGAAAAUAUUGUACGUACUGAUCGGUCAGGGAGUGGUUUCGGUUUUUUAACCAAAAUAAAUGUUUGCUUCUGAGAACUUUUUUGCUUUGACUAACAUGCGAAGAUUGUGUUUUUUAGGGUGAACCGGGUGCACCUGGUCCUAAAGGAAGUCAGGGUGACAGAGGCAGCGAUGGUGCCCCGGGGGCCCCUGGCACACCAGGUGAAUUUGGACUGAAGGGAACCAAAGGAGAGGUGUAGCAGGAGACCCUGGGACCAGAGGGUUUGAAGGAA